rnacentral:lncRNA from 1 species
UGCACCUGCAACUAGCAACGCUAUCAACAGGGUUAAGCAAGCAGUAACAUAGCCAAUCAGUGGUUUGCUAGGUUGAACAGGUUGAAGGUUUCAUGGCAUUGUUGAGAGGCUGAUAUUUAACAUGUGGUAGGCAACGAGACAUAACGACAGAGACGAUAAAACUAGCAUGGCAAUGAUAGUAAUGGUAUAUGGGGAAAUGAUCAUCUUGCCUCAG